UACGGAGGGUGCGAGCGUUGUCCGGAAUCACUGGGCGUAAAGGGCGCGUAGGCGGCUUCUCAAGCGUGUGGUGAAAGUCCAGGGCUCAACCCUGGGAUGCCGGUGGAUACUGUCGGGCUCGAGUCCGGAAGAGGAGUGUGGAAUUCCUGGUGUAGCGGUGAAAUGCGCAGAUAUCAGGAGGAACACCAAUGGCGAAGGCAGCACUCUGGGACGUGACUGACGCUGAGACGCGAAAGCGUGGGGAGCAAACAGG
rnacentral:rRNA from 1 species